rnacentral:lncRNA from 1 species
UGGUUUAAUAUGUGGUUAAUCUGUUGAGUUCUGCGUUGAUUUGUGUUUUGGGUGCAUGGGGAAAGGUGGCGACGGGCGUAAAACAUGAAUCAGGGGAAAUUUACGUUUACUCACCGUUUGUUUGGGGUAGUUAUCUGCGAAUAAGGGGUUCUCUUGUAGAAUUGAGGUUUUCUUCGCCGAUCUAAUGUUUUGCAUGAGGAAAUUGUGAUUGGGUGCUCUGUUCCGAUUGUGUUCGUCGUUUCCUUA